UACGUAGGGUGCGAGCGUUAAUCGGAUUUACUGGGCGUAAAGGGCGCGUAGGCGGCCUGGUAAGUCAGGGGUGAAAUCCCACGGCUCAACCGUGGAAUUGCCUUUGAAACUGCUGGGCUUGGAUCCUGGAGAGGGUGGCGGAAUUCCUGGUGUAGGAGUGAAAUCCGUAGAUAUCAGGAGGAACACCGGUGGCGAAGGCGGCCGCCUGGACAGGUAUCGACGCUGAGGCGCGAAAGUGUGGGGAGCAAACAGG
rnacentral:rRNA from 1 species